rnacentral:rRNA from 1 species
AGUAAUUGCCUUAGUAACGGCGAGUGAAGCGGCAACAGCUCAAAUUUGAAAUCUGGCUUCUGCCCGAGUUGUAAUUUGUAGAGGAUGCUUCUGGCGACGUGCCUUCCGAGUCCCCUGGAACGGGGCGCCGGAGAGGGUGAGAGCCCCGUACGGUUGGACGCCGAGCCUCUGUGAAGCUCCUUCGACGAGUCGAGUAGUUUGGGAAUGCUGCUCUAAAUGGGAGGUAAAUUCCUUCUAAAGCUAAAUACCGGCCAGAGACCGAUAGCGCACAAGUAGAGUGAUCGAAAGAUGAAAAGCACUUUGGAAAGAGGGUUAAAAAGUACGUGAAAUUGCUGAAAGGGAAGCGCUUGCGACCAGACUCGCGCCGGGCGAAUCAUCCAGCGUUCUCGCUGGUGCACUUCGCCCGGCCCGGGCCAGCAUCGGUUCGCGCCGGGGGACAAAAGCCUUGGGAACGUAGCUUCCUCCGGGGAGUGUUAUAGCCCCUGGCCUAAUGUCCCGGGGCAGACCGAGGACCGCGCUUAUGCAAGGAUGCUGGCGUAAUGGUCGUCAGCGACCCGUCUUGAAACACGGACCAAGGAGUCGAACAUUUGUGCGAGUGUUUGGGUGCAAAACCCUCACGCGUAAUAAAAGUGAACGGAGGUGGGAGCUUCGGCGCACCAUCGACCGAUCCUGAUGUUCUCGGAUGGAUUUGAGUAAGAGCAUAACUGUUCGGACCCGAAAGAUGGUGAACUAUGCCUGUAUAGGGUGAAGCCAGAGGAAACUCUGGUGGAGGCUCGCAGCGGUUCUGACGUGCAAAUCGAUCGUCAAAUAUGGGCAUGGGGGCGAAAGACUAAUCGAACCAUCUAGU